UGUGGUCCGAUGAAUAUUGAAGCUCGUGGCGGAUAUCGUUAUUUUCUCACCUUCACAGAUGAUUUGAGCAGAUAUGGGUAUAUCUACUUAAUGAAACAUAAGUCUGAAACAUUUGAAAAGUUCAAAGAAUUUCAGAGUGAAGUUGAAAAUCAUCGUAACAAGAAAAUAAAAUUCCUACGAUCUGAUCGUGGAGGAGAAUAUUUGAGUUACGAGUUUGGUCUACAUUUGAAACAAUGCGGAAUAGUUUCGCAACUCACGCCACCCAGAACACCACAGCGUAAUGGUGUGUCUGAACGUCGUAAUCGUACUUUAUUAGAUAUGGUGCGAACUAUGAUGUCUCUUACUGAUUUACCGCUAUCAUUUUGGGGUUAUGCUUUAGAGACGGCUGCAUUCACUCUAAAUAGGACACCAUCGAAAUCCGUUGAGACGACGCCUUUU
rnacentral:rRNA from 1 species